GCACCUUUAGCUCAGUAGGUAGAGCAGUUGACUCGUAAUCAACAGGCCGCAGGUUCGAUCCCUGUAAGGUGCACCA
rnacentral:tRNA from 2 species